UUCUCCCAGGUAAAGAGGGGGGCUAUGGACUGGCACCCAGCCUUCCCCUCAACAAACCCCUUCUCUUCCCAUCAGCUUUCACAGGAAGGUCACCUCCUGGGGAGGUCUCCCAGGUCGCUAGCUCACAGCACCCUCUUCUGAAAGGGCCGCAUGGUUACUUUGUGGUCACACCCACACCCAAGCCUAAGGCCCCUCCUUACUCACCAGCUGGCACAGGGAGGAUCUUCGGGGGUAUUUGGUGUGUGUUGACUUGAAAAUGGGGUUCUAAGGGCUCUGCCAGGGGCCACCUGUGUGAUCUUAAGAACGCUCCCUCCUCUCCCCACCCACAGCCACCUCCACCUCCAGCCUCAGAUUCUCAUCAGUGAAACUGGAGAACUAGCUUUCUGCCAGCUCCCCGCUCUUUGAUUUAACAACCUCAAAUUAAAAAAAAAAAAAAAGAAACAACAAAAAUUCAAUAGAACUUGUGAUUCUGGCAGGGACUGUUUUGCGGUUCUCUGGGCCUCUAUUUCUGCAUCCACACAACGAGGGUUUAGACCCAAUAUAUUAGUCUCUUUCCACCUCAAACCCUUACAAUUCUGGUUAAAAAAUAAUAAUAAUAAAGGCUCCACCCUCCCCCUGGCCCUUCACCUACAGCUCCACUUGGGUCCCAGGGUACAAACAGGGAAUGUGUCUCAAGCAGCGGAUAUGCAGCUUGUGGCUCUGUGGCCUGGUCAGGCUGAAGGGGCAAUAAAGUUUCUGAGCUUUCCAGAUAAAGCCCAGACCCUGGGCCCAAAGACCCAUCUCAUUCCAUACGGGAGGAGGGUGCUGUUCACCUCUGUUUGGGUCUCCCCUCCCUAUCAUUCACAGGAGAUGCCACGGCGCGGAACGGGCAGAUUAGCAGUCUUGGAGUACCAGGGUGAGAGCUCUGGGCUCCAGUCUGGCCCAGGGUGACCUUAGGGAAACCUCCACCCUUCCCCACUGACUUGAAGGUUUUCUUUUUGCUGGCAGAGCUGUUCCCGGAUGAAGGGCGCCAUCUCAUUUCGUGUGUCUCAGUCCCAAAUCUCUCCCUUCGCAUGUGACCUGAGGACAUUUCUCAACCUUCCCAGGCCUCAAGUUUCCCCAUUUGCACAACUGGAACCGUAAGGGUUCCUACCAGCUGGGUUUCUGCAUGAGGAAGAGGAAGGGCUCCUAAAAGUGCUUCACGCAGUGUCUGGAGAGAGGGAAAAAUGUCCAGAAUAAGAGGAGGCUGGACUCAGUUAUCUCAGCUCCCAGAAGUGUGGUGAGUGGAUGGAUGUCUCUGUCCAGUGAACUACUGUGUCUCACCUCUGAGGUAUAGGAGGGGUCCAAAGGAGUUCCUGGGACCCAUCCAGACCUCUGUAUUCUUACCUGCAGAGUACAGAUGCUCAAAAAACAUGCUCCUUGACUUACGAUGUGAUUGUAUCUCUCAGAGUAGAAAAUACUAAAAUCAGAGUGGAAAAUACUAUACAGAGAAGAUACUACAUAUUUUUUCCAGGCUCCCCAAGCAGCAACUGGAAAAGGGCUGUGGUGGAAACAUUUACACUAUGGAAAUUGGCAAGUAUCACUUGUCAAAGCAUUCGUGUUUUGAAGAGCUGAUCACCCGACAUCUGCAAGCACAACCAAGGCCAGGCCUCUUGGGUCCGCAGGGGCUACAUCUUUCCAGUGGGAGGGGCAGAGGGGACUGCUGAACUCUUCCAGUCCUACGAGGCUACUAUGCUGAGGAAGCAAAUGUGAAAUAGCUAAGCAGACCCGGCAGAAGAACACUGCCUUCCAUAGUGUGUAUCAGAGGUGUGUGAGGUGGGGGCUCCUCUGUUCAUUUGUUUGCUCCUUUUUUGGUAAAUUCACCCUGUUUAUAAGUGCUGUGGGGAGGCAAAAACUUAAAGGAGUCCAGAAGAGAAUCUCUUUGUAUACAGGUGUGUGGCUGCCUUUGAAUUCUCUAGAUUUGCCUACUGGGUUUCCUUCCUUUGAGGAUAGUAACUGUACUGAUAACUGCUGAGCGUGGUUACUAUUACUUCUGCUACCAGUCACUCUAAUGGCACCUGCCACUUAUGGCCACCUUGUACCAAGCCAUCCACACUCAGCUCUAAAAUCCCCAACAACUCAUUUCACAGAUGAGAAUGCUGAGGCUCAGCGGUGCAAAGUCUUGCUUGGGGCCAACCUGCCCCUGUGGAAGUUCUCCCAACAGAUUUGUUCCCUCCAUCGGGUGGCGCUGUGAUCCGCCUUGGGCCUGCAGAAUUCAGCAGCACUAGAAAGUCUCCAUCUCUGAUGGCACUGGGGGACUUGGUGGUUGCCCAGUGUGUGUAAGGAGCCCUCUAUCCACCACCGGAGCAAAACAGGACAAACGCUCCUGGUCCAACCAUCUGUCUCUGGAAUACAGACAGGGACUUGGGCCUUGGCCAGGUAGCAACUUUGCACCCUGAGGAAGUGUCACAAAGGCAGACAUUGGGGAAAUAUCCACAGUACUCCCAGUGGUAGCAAGAGCUAGAAUUAGGUCCUGCCCAGGACCCUAACCAUAUGGUGUGUCCAGCCUCUACAUCUCUGGCUGGUCUGGUUUUCUAGCCCUGUCAGGAAUGCUGUGAGCAACAAAAUAUAGCCCCAAGGUGUUAUGGCUUAGAUCUAAAAUGCCCUUCCAAAGUCGGAUGUGUUCAGAGGUAGGGCUUUUAGAAGAUGAUUAGUUCAUGAAGGUACUAACCUCACUAAUGGGUUGAUACAUUGAUGAAUUCAUUAGCUGAGUGGGCUUAUUAGGAGGUAGGGCCUAAUUGCACGAAGCAGGUCAAUGGGGGUGUGGCUUUCUUUCUGACUCCUUCCUAGCUGCUGUGAAAUGUGCAGCUUUCUUCACCAGGCCCUUCCAUCCCUGGUGUUUCUGCCUUGGAAACAGCUGACCAUGGACUGAAACCUCUGAAACCAUAAACUAAAUUAAACCUCUC